rnacentral:rRNA from 1 species
CUAAUACCGCAUAAGCGCACGAGGAGACAUCUCCUUGUGUGAAAAACUCCGGUGGUACAGGAUGGGCCCGCGUCUGAUUAGCUGGUUGGCAGGGUAACGGCCUACCAAGGCAACGAUCAGUAGCCGGUCUGAGAGGAUGAACGGCCACAUUGGAACUGAGACACGGUCCAAACUCCUACGGGAGGCAGCAGUGGGGAAUAUUGCACAAUGGGGGAAACCCUGAUGCAGCAACGCCGCGUGAGUGAAGAAGUAUUUCGGUAUGUAAAGCUCUAUCAGCAGGGAAGAUAAUGACGGUACCUGACUAAGAAGCUCCGGCUAAAUACGUGCCAGCAGCCGCGGUAAUACGUAUGGAGCAAGCGUUAUCCGGAUUUACUGGGUGUAAAGGGUGCGUAGGUGGCAGUGCAAGUCAGAUGUGAAAGGCCGGGGCUCAACCCCGGAGCUGCAUUUGAAACUGCUCGGCUAGAGUACAGGAGAGGCAGGCGGAAUUCCUAGUGUAGCGGUGAAAUGCGUAGAUAUUAGGAGGAACACCAGUGGCGAAGGCGGCCUGCUGGACUGUUACUGACACUGAGGCACGAAAGCGUGGGGAGCAAACAGGAUUAGAUACCCUGGUAGUCCACGCCGUAAAC